UACGUAGGGGGCUAGCGUUGUCCGGAAUCAUUGGGCGUAAAGAGCGUGUAGGCGGCUCGGUAAGUCCGCUGUAAAAGUCAAAGGCUCAACCUUUGAAUGUCAGUGGAUACUGCCGGGCUAGAGUCCGGAAGAGGCGAGUGGAACUCCUGGUGUAGCGGUGGAAUGCGCAGAUAUCAGGAAGAACACCAACGGCGAAGGCAGCUCGCUGGGACGGUACUGACACUGAGGCGCGAAAGCGUGGGGAGCGAACAGG
rnacentral:rRNA from 1 species